UAAUGUAUGGGGAUCUGCCCGAUAGAGGGGGAUAACUACUGGAAACGGUGGCUAAUACCGCAUAAUGUCUACGGACCAAAGCAGGGGCUCUUCGGACCUUGCACUAUCGGAUGAACCCAUAUGGGAUUAGCUAGUAGGUGGGGUAAAGGCUCGCCUAGGCGACGAUCUCUAGCUGGUCUGAGAGGAUGAUCAGCCACACUGGGACUGAGACACGGCCCAG
rnacentral:rRNA from 1 species